UUUCAACAUUAAUAAUAAUAAUAUUAAUAAUAACAAUAAUGUUUUUUUUGUUUCAUCGCACUAGCUAACUUUUCAAGUUCUGUUCUUAGCUCUUUAACAGAAUUUUUAGUCGCUUGUACAUCCAUAUGUAGGUCACACAAUGCUGGUGUGACCAGAUGCUCUCCUCCCAUGUUUGUAUGAAUACUAAUUAUUUAAUUAGAGUUUGCCGCCUACAAAUUUCCUUUUAGUUGGGGUGACGUGUCAUUUCCGAUUAGACUAUAAAUAGCGUAUUUCCAUUCUUGUCGAGACAUACGUCACCUCCGAUUGACUCGGGGGUUCCCAUUUGCUUCCAAUGUGCGGGUGAUUUGACUGCGGCUGUAUGCCAGCUUUUGCGUGCUCCUGAAAUGAUUUCUUUCGGUAAGCUGUUAUUGCAGUAAGUUGUGGAAACCAACUGUCUGGUCGGGAUUCUGAUGAGUGGGUAUGGGGUUUUUCAGGCACAUGUAAACCAACUUGUGCGACGCUGCAGGAUCAAAACGAAUCAACGAGCGAUCUAGAGUGGUUUGUUCCAAGUGAUUGACAUGGUUCUAUCGGCGGAUGCCAGGGGCUUCAGUCAGGAACCCUCCUUUUCCUCAGCGUGCUGGUGGUGGUUUGAACACUGGGUGCUGUGUGCAGUGAGACGCACGGAUUUUGUUCUUUGUCUUUGGCUCCUCAUGUGCUCUCAUCAUGUAUAAAUGCACACUCAGUACUCCACACGGCUCUGAAGAAAAAGGACAUCUUUCUGCUUUCCAGAACUGCUUCACUUAUUUUGCCCAAGGAUCCGCUUUUAAGGUAUGAAACAUAUAUUUAGAUAAACCUUUAUUGACAGUUUACAGUAGUGGUUUUCUAUAGAUUUUUGAUUAACAGGUUUAGAAGUCGCAAGUAUACAUUAAUUAUUUUCAGACUUUGCAGGCAUUAGUCCAUUAACCCUAAUAAACAUAAUUUAAAAGAGGAUGUACUUCUAGAGCGAGAACAGAGAGUUAGAGUAGUGCACAGAGCCAGGUGCUCAGUCUGAGUGCGCGCACGCAGCUCAUAAGAGAACACUCUAUAUUAAUUGGACGUGCUCUCGAUAUUUGUCAUUAAAAUAGCGCGGGCCGCUGCCGAAGAGAGAAGGGGCGGUGAAUUAAAGCACAAACUUAAGGCGUGUUUUUUAACGAAUAAAUGUCAUGGAGGCGUCACGCGCACGAGCCUCAAGCCUCUGCA
rnacentral:lncRNA from 1 species